rnacentral:lncRNA from 1 species
GUAGAUGUAGGAAGUGACUGUAGGUUUAGAUGAAUGGAAAAUGAACUUGCCAGUUCACAGCUAUGUCCUUCCCAAUUUAGGAGGUUAAGGGCAGGAAAAACAUGAGAAACUCUUUUGAGAAGCUGCACAAGCUGACAUGGAGGAUCAAGGAUUUCAAAAGCUUUGAAUAUAAAGAGGUGUCAGACUUACAUCAGAGCCUGAGACUUGACAUGCCUAUUUUUGCACUCGCUCAUUUUUCAAAUUUCAUAGGCAUUGCUCCCUCCAAAUCACCGCUCUUCUAAUUUUAUCCUGGAGUGUGCAUCCCAGAAGACAUAAGCUGACACAAUUGGGAACUGAAGUUGCUUGAAAAAGCUGGUGGUAAGAUUAGACUCUAGACAGCUUAUACGUAUUUGGACAAGGCAACGUGAUGAAGAAAUAAUAUAAUUGUAGGAUCACCUCUGUCCAGUAGCUGUUAUCCAACAUCUGCAUACUUAGAUUUCUGGAGAGAUAUCCAUGAAUGACCAUGAAAGUACAGCAAGUGAUUUUCAAGCUGCAAACAAAUUUUAGCAAGCAAAUGGAAGAAGAAAGAGGAGAGUGGUGGUGUGUGCUUUCCCUUUAAUGGCAGAACCCAACAGUCGUACACACCACUUCUACCCUCUUAAGAUGGGUCAGAAUCCAGGCCCAAUUCCAUGUAUACAUGGAAGAGAGGCUUAUUAAAGUAGCCUUCAGUUGCUGGACAGAGUUCCAUCCAAAACUACAGUUAAUAGGACAGUCAAUAUUUUUUCCCUGAGUUUGAAAAAAUCAUUUUCAAAUGUUCACUGGCAAAUCUGGAUAACAGCAGGCUCCUCCCACGCAUGCAGACCCUGACCACAAAGCAGACAAAUUCUCCUGUUUCCCAGGCUGGAGUGCAGUGGUGCGAUCUGGGCUCACUUCAUCCUAUGCCUCCCAGGCUCAAGCGAUCCUCCUGCCUCCACCACUGGAAUAACUGGGACUACAAACUCACACCACCAUGCCUAGUUAAUUUCUGUAUCUUUUUGAGUAGAGAUAGUGUUUUGCCAUGUUAUCCAGGGUGGCCUCCAACCCGGGAGCUCAAGCCAUCCACCCUCUUCGGCCUCCCAAAGUGCUGGGAUUGCAAGCAUGAGCCACUGCACUGGCUAAUUCUUUAUUUUAAUGUUCAUGUUUUCAUUAGGCAAUUUCAGUACACCCAAGUGUAUUUUGAGAAGUGAUUCACUUUUAAUCUCUCCUAGUUUCUUUCAAUUAUGGCCGCAAAAUUCAUUAACGUUGUAUGACUGAUUUAAGGAAAUGCUGUUGCAUUAGUGAGUAUCUACUUUUAUAAACCUAAAAUAGUUUCUUACCUCAUGUCUCCUUACAAUCAUCUGAUUAUAGACAGUAUCAAUUCUAUGAACUUGCAUACUUCCAAAAAGAAAA